rnacentral:tRNA from 1 species
AGUGUGAUAGUUUAAUGGUAAAACACUGACAGUGUCGGCGAUGCAGGUUCGAGUCCUGCUCAUGCUA